CCUGCCCACCCCGUCUCCCUCUGGCUGCCCCCCCGUCUCCUUCCCUGGACUGGUCGUUCAACGGCUUCUCAGCUGGCAGCCAGUUGUGCACAUGCUCUUCCGCCUCCCCAGCCGAGAGAGAGGGAGAGAGAACAAAGUUGAGUGGUUCUGGUCAGCCGCGAUGGUUGUGAGGCACAACCUUUGCUGGACAUCGAGAAGGUCACCUCCGAGGACACGAUUUCAACGGUGAUCGAGAAAGGGUGUCCAUCGUUGUGGAGCUGGACGAGAUCUCUGGCCAACCCACCAAAUAGCUUGCAGCCCCGGUUCUUGCCACUGACGCGCCACCUCCUAGUUCAACAUGAAGUAAUGCAUGGUACUUCAUGGCAGCGCCAUGGACAACAUCACCGUAACCACAUUGAUGGUCCAAGCCCCAGCUCACAACAUCAUUUUUAGUUGGGCAGGCUAUGCUAAAUCGAGUGAUGCUGCCAUUGAGUCCGCCAUUUGUUCUGGUUUACUUACAAGAUGAUACAAUGAUUUAAAUAGACGAUGCAAAUUUAUCUGAGUUGAAGACCUCUCAAAGAAAGUUGUUAGCGGUUUCUUCAUGGGAAAUGGCAUUUGAGAGUUUGUGAAAGCGACUUAAUAAAAGAUAAACUACACAGUUUGACCAAGCACGUUGAGGAAGAUAAAAACAAGGAAAAGGAUUUUGUGUAUGAUCAGACUGCCUCAAGUGAUUCCUCCCCUUCAAAGAUCUGAGCAUUGAGACGUCCUUGCACUCAUGCACCUGCUGGAAGAGGACAACCCGAGGUGGUCUGCCAUGGGCGCCUAGCGAGGCACAAUGUUUGGGCGCUUCGCCACGGCUUCUAGAGGGGUGGCUAAGUCCACUAGUGCAGAACCGGACAAUAGCACCGGUUCG